UACAUGGGGUGCAAACGUUGCUCGGAAUUAUUGGGCGUAAAGCGCACGUAGGCGGUUCGUUAAGUCGGAUGUGAAAGCCCUCGGCUCAACUGAGGAAGUGCACCCGAAACUGGCGAGCUUGAGUACGAAAGAGGAUCGCGGAAUUCCCGGUGUAGAGGUGAAAUUCGUAGAUAUCGGGAGGAACACCGGUGGCGAAGGCGGGCGAUCUGGGGUCGAUACUGACGCUGAGGUGCGAAAGCGUGGGGAGCAAACAGGG
rnacentral:rRNA from 1 species